CCUACGGGAGGCAGCAGUAGGGAAUCUUUCACAAUGGGCGAAAGCCUGAUGGAGCAACGCCGCGUGCAGGAUGAAGGCCUUCGGGUUGUAAACUGCUUUUAUAAGCGAGAAAUAUGAUGGUAACUUAUGAAUAAGGAUCGGCUAACUACGUGCCAGUAGCCGCGGUCAUACGUAGGAUCCGAGCAUUAUCCGGAGUGACUGGGUGUAAAGAGUUGCGUAGGUGGCAUAAUAAGUAGCUAGUGAAAUCUGGUGGCUUAACCAUUCAGACUAUUAGCUAAACUGUUAAGCUCGAGACCGUUAGGGGUAACUGGAAUUUCUAGUGUAGGAGUGAAAUCCGUAGAUAUUAGAAGGAACACCAAUAGCGUAGGCAGGUUGCUGGGACGGUUCUGACACUAAGGCACGAAAGCGUAGGGAGCAAACGGGAUUAGAUACCCGAGUAGUC
rnacentral:rRNA from 1 species